UAUAGAUUUAUGAUAAUUAAGACUGAGCUAGCAGAUGAGAGAUCCUAGUGAUUGGCCAAGCAGCAUUUGAACCGAAUACAAUUUUCUGUGUAUUCAUUUGGGCCAUAAAUCGGGUGGGUGGCUGGCGUAGAGCACACAAGUGUCAGAGGGGCUCUGUUGGCUUUGGCAGAAAGAUUUACCAUAACAGAGCAACUCUGGGAUUUUCCUGUUGCAGCAUCUCUGCAACAGUCUCCACAGGCGCCAAAUUUCCCAGGUACUUGUGUUUGAAAUACAUAGUUAGGCCCUCACCACUGGCCAGCUCUGCCUUUAGGUAGCUCUGUGCUUUCACUUGCUGUUCUUCACAUGCACUGCUUUCUCACCAUUCCCUGUGUCUGCCUUUCAGAUGGUUAGCUCUUUGUACUACAGACUUCUUGGGACAAUUUCAAUGUUGCUAGCUGAGAUGGUCCAGACCCACAGACUGCUCUCACCAGGACUUGAGGGUUCCCCGAGCUCUGAGGAGGAAGAAUUUGAUGGAGGAGGAAACUUUCCUGAUAACAGAUGAACAAGGCACUUAUCUAAAAUAAAAAGCUGUGGAUUCCUUCCAGACUAAUAUGGUUUGAUCAAGCAAGAUCC